rnacentral:rRNA from 1 species
AAAACCUUACCCACCUUUGACAUGUACGGAACCUUUAGAGAUAGAGGGUGCUCGAAGAGAGCCGUAACACAGGUGCUGCAUGGCUGUCGUCAGCUCGUGUCGUGAGAUGUUGGGUUAAGUCCCGCAACGAGCGCAACCCUUGUCAUUAGUUGCUACAUUCAGUUGGGCACUCUAAUGAGACUGCCGGUGACAAGCCGGAGGAAGGUGGGGAUGACGUCAAGUCCUCAUGGCCCUUAUAGGUGGGGCUACACACGUCAUACAAUGGCUGGUACAAAGGGUUGCCAACCCGCGAGGGGGAGCCAAUCCCAUAAAGCCAGUCGUAGUCCGGAUCGUAGUCUGCAACUCGACUACGUGAAGUCGGAAUCGCUAGUAAUCGUGGAUCAGAAUGUCACGGUGAAUACGUUCCCGGGUCUU